UCUCCGUAGGUGAACCUGCGGAGGGAUCAUUACAGAGUUCUCGCCCUCGCGGGUAGAUCUCCCACUCACUGUUAUCGUUACUGUGUUGCUUCGGCGGGCCGCCGGGCCCCGCUCGGCCGCCGGCUCCGGCUGGCGCGCGCCCGCCAGAGGCCCAGCAAACUCUGAAUGUUAGUGUCGUCUGAGUACUAUAUAAUAGUUAAAACUUUCAACAACGGAUCUCUUGGUUCUG
rnacentral:misc_RNA from 1 species